ACUUGAAUUGAAGAGUUUGAUCAUGGCUCAGAUUGAACGCUGGCGGCAGGCUUAACACAUGCAAGUCGAACGGUAGCAGGAGGAAGCUUGCUUUCUUGCUGACGAGUGGCGGACGGGUGAGUAAUGCUUGGGAAUCUGGCUUAUGGAGGGGGAUAACUACGGGAAACUGUAGCUAAUACCGCGUAAUAUCGAAAGAUUAAAGUGUGGGACCUUCGGGCCACAUGCCAUAAGAUGAGCCCAAGUGGGAUUAGGUAGUUGGUGGGGUAAAGGCUCACCAAGCCUGCGAUCUCUAGCUGGUCUGAGAGGAUGGCCAGCCACACUGGAACUGAGACACGGUCCAGACUCCUACGGGAGGCAGCCGUGGGGAAUAUUGCG
rnacentral:rRNA from 1 species